CGGGCGGCACUUUUUCCAGGUUGUUAAUCCAGCUAAUGGAGAAGGAUAGAUGCACGCUACUUGGUUUAGAAAAAAAACAAAAAUGAGCAAACGAGACGCCCCUUCCGUUUUAUGAUAACUAAGCUGCAGGGAAAUAAAUCGGCUGGCCCUACUGCAAUCUACUGCACUCGAGUGACAAGUGAGCCUGCUUCUAUCAAUUACUGAAGCUAUAAGGAAAUUUUUUAAAAAUUAAACUUCAACACAAUGAGGUAAGUACCAAUAUUUUUUGGCUUUUGUUUAACUGUUGUAAAAUACGUAUAACACAAAAUUUAUCACCUUAACGGGUUUUAAGUAUAUAGUUCAGUAGUGUUAACUGUUUUCACAUUGUUGUGCGGCCGAUCUCUGGAACUUUUUCAUCUUGCAAAACUGAAACUUUAUACCCACUGAACAACAACUGUCCAUUUCUUCCUACUCCCAGCCCCUGGCAACUGCCAUUCUUUCUGUUUCUAUAAAUUUGACUUUCCUAGGUACCUCAUAAUAAAUGGAAUCAUACAGUAUUUGUCUUUUUGUGACUGCUUAUUUCAAUUAACAUAAUGUCUUCAAGAUUCAUCUAUGUUGUGGCAUGUAUCAGAAUUCCCUAAUUUGUAAAAACAGAAUAAUAAUACUCUUUUGUACCUGUGUAUCAUAUUUUCUAAAUG
rnacentral:sRNA from 1 species